GUCGUGAGAUGUUGGGUUAACUCCCGCCACGAGCGCCCCCCUUACUUUUAGUUGCCAUCAUUAAGUUGGGCACUCUAAGUUGACUGCCGGUGACAAACCGGAGGAAGGUGGGGACGACGUCAAAUCAUCAUGCCCCUUAUGAUUUGGGCUACACACGUGCUACAAUGGACAAUACAAAGGGCAGCUAAACCGCGAGGUCAAGCAAAUCCCAUAAAGUUGUUCUCAGUUCGGAUUGUAGUCUGCAACUCGACUACCUGAAGCUGGAAUCGCUAGUAAUCGUAAAUCAGAAUGCUACGGUGAAUACGUUCCCGGGUCU
rnacentral:rRNA from 1 species